UUAAGUUAUUAAGGGCGCACGGUGGAUGCCUUGGCACUAGAAGCCGAUGAAGGACGUUACUAACGACGAUAUGCUUUGGGGAGCUGUAAGUAAGCUUUGAUCCAGAGAUUUCCGAAUGGGGAAACCCAGCAUGAGUUAUGUCAUGUUAUCGAUAUGUGAAUACAUAGCAUAUCAGAAGGCACACCCGGAGAACUGAAACAUCUUAGUACCCGGAGGAAGAGAAAGAAAAUUCGAUUCUAAGGCUAAAUACUCUCUAGUGACCGAUAGUGAACCAGUACCGUGAGGGAAAGGUGAAAAGCACCCCGGAAGGGGAGUGAAAUAGAACCUGAAACCGUGUGCUUACAAGUAGUCAGAGCCCGUUAAUGGGUGAUGGCGUGCCUUUUGUAGAAUGAACCGGCGAGUUACGAUUUGAUGCAAGGUUAAGCAGUAAAUGUGGAGCCGUAGCGAAAGCGAGUCUGAAUAGGGCGUUUAGUAUUUGGUCGUAGACCCGAAACCAGGUGAUCUACCCUUGGUCAGGUUGAAGUUCAGGUAACACUGAAUGGAGGACCGAACCGACUUACGUUGAAAAGUGAGCGGAUGAACUGAGGGUAGCGGAGAAAUUCCAAUCGAACCUGGAGAUAGCUGGUUCUCUCCGAAAUAGCUUUAGGGCUAGCCUCAAGUGAUGAUUAUUGGAGGUAGAGCACUGUUUGGACGAGGGGCCCCUCUCGGGUUACCGAAUUCAGACAAACUCCGAAUGCCAAUUAAUUUAACUUGGGAGUCAGAACAUGGGUGAUAAGGUCCGUGUUCGAAAGGGAAACAGCCCAGACCACCAGCUAAGGUCCCAAAAUAUAUGUUAAGUGGAAAAGGAUGUGGCGUUGCCCAGACAACUAGGAUGUUGGCUUAGAAGCAGCCAUCAUUUAAAGAGUGCGUAAUAGCUCACUAGUCGAGUGACACUGCGCCGAAAAUGUACCGGGGCUAAACAUAUUACCGAAGCUGUGGAUUGUCCUUUGGACAAUGGUAGGAGAGCGUUCUAAGGGCGUUGAAGCAUGAUCGUAAGGACAUGUGGAGCGCUUAGAAGUGAGAAUGCCGGUGUGAGUAGCGAAAGACGGGUGAGAAUCCCGUCCACCGAUUGACUAAGGUUUCCAGAGGAAGGCUCGUCCGCUCUGGGUUAGUCGGGUCCUAAGCUGAGGCCGACAGGCGUAGGCGAUGGAUAACAGGUUGAUAUUCCUGUACCACCUAUAAUCGUUUUAAUCGAUGGGGGGACGCAGUAGGAUAGGCGAAGCGUGCGAUUGGAUUGCACGUCUAAGCAGUAAGGCUGAGUAUUAGGCAAAUCCGGUACUCGUUAAGGCUGAGCUGUGAUGGGGAGAAGACAUUGUGUCUUCGAGUCGUUGAUUUCACACUGCCGAGAAAAGCCUCUAGAUAGAAAAUAGGUGCCCGUACCGCAAACCGACACAGGUAGUCAAGAUGAGAAUUCUAAGGUGAGCGAGCGAACUCUCGUUAAGGAACUCGGCAAAAUGACCCCGUAACUUCGGGAGAAGGGGUGCUCUUUAGGGUUAACGCCCAGAAGAGCCGCAGUGAAUAGGCCCAAGCGACUGUUUAUCAAAAACACAGGUCUCUGCUAAACCGUAAGGUGAUGUAUAGGGGCUGACGCCUGCCCGGUGCUGGAAGGUUAAGAGGAGUGGUUAGCUUCUGCGAAGCUACGAAUCGAAGCCCCAGUAAACGGCGGCCGUAACUAUAACGGUCCUAAGGUAGCGAAAUUCCUUGUCGGGUAAGUUCCGACCCGCACGAAAGGCGUAACGAUUUGGGCACUGUCUCAACGAGAGACUCGGUGAAAUCAUAGUACCUGUGAAGAUGCAGGUUACCCGCGACAGGACGGAAAGACCCCGUGGAGCUUUACUGUAGCCUGAUAUUGAAAUUCGGCACAGCUUGUACAGGAUAGGUAGGAGCCUUUGAAACGUGAGCGCUAGCUUACGUGGAGGCGCUGGUGGGAUACUACCCUAGCUGUGUUGGCUUUCUAACCCGCACCACUUAUCGUGGUGGGAGACAGUGUCAGGCGGGCAGUUUGACUGGGGCGGUCGCCUCCUAAAAGGUAACGGAGGCGCUCAAAGGUUCCCUCAGAAUGGUUGGAAAUCAUUCAUAGAGUGUAAAGGCAUAAGGGAGCUUGACUGCGAGACCUACAAGUCGAGCAGGGUCGAAAGACGGACUUAGUGAUCCGGUGGUUCCGCAUGGAAGGGCCAUCGCUCAACGGAUAAAAGCUACCCCGGGGAUAACAGGCUUAUCUCCCCCAAGAGUUCACAUCGACGGGGAGGUUUGGCACCUCGAUGUCGGCUCAUCGCAUCCUGGGGCUGUAGUCGGUCCCAAGGGUUGGGCUGUUCGCCCAUUAAAGCGGUACGCGAGCUGGGUUCAGAACGUCGUGAGACAGUUCGGUCCCUAUCCGUCGUGGGCGUAGGAAAUUUGAGAGGAGCUGUCCUUAGUACGAGAGGACCGGGAUGGACAUACCUCUGGUGUACCAGUUGUCGUGCCAACGGCAUAGCUGGGUAGCUAUGUGUGGACGGGAUAAGUGCUGAAAGCAUCUAAGCAUGAAGCCCCCCUCAAGAUGAGAUUUCCCAACUUCGGUUAUAAGAUCCCUCAAAGAUGAUGAGGUUAAUAGGUUCGAGGUGGAAGCAUGGUGACAUGUGGAGCUGACGAAUACUAAUCGAUCGAAGACUUAAUCAA
rnacentral:rRNA from 1 species